UUCAGUGGUUACUUUUGCAGAUUUUCCUCAAAAACAAAAUGUUCAUAUAUAUACGGCCUUUGAGUUAUCGUCUGCCCCUUGAUCGUCUCUUCACAAUGAUCUUGGUCUUUUCUUCUAAUCCGUCGACGCGCGCGAAAAUCACAGAAAACUGGUGAUGGCAGAAACCAGACUAUUUGUUGCCAAUUCAUAGAUUUGUGAUUUUCUUGCGAUUGUGUGCAUUAUAGUUCAACUUUCGACACUCCCGUCGAACUCUUCGAGACGAUUCUUUAUCUCAAAUUUCAACCUCCGAUCUAGGCGAUACUUCCUGGUGCGUAAUCUUUUUUAUGUUCGACUCGUUCUAAUUGUGUGCGUUUUUCUGGCCGUCUAUGAUUCAUUGGAACUGGAAUGAAAAGUCAUUUGGUUUGGUUUGGUUUUUGGCUUCUUGCACUUUGAUUCUGCAUCCGAGACCGGCGUAGUCGCAAAUUAGAAGAUCGGAUAAACUUUGAAGGAGAUCGAGUUGCCUGGCAUCUCCUGAACUGUGAAUUCUGAACUGAUUUAUCACUCAUUCUUCAACCUCAACAUCCGACGAAAGAGACAGAAAGAGAAUAGACAGUUCAAGAUGAAGGAAGGACCAGAGCAUUUUUGCCCAUCUAACCUGCACAACUCGGCUUCGUAUACUACGGUAUUGUGAU